rnacentral:rRNA from 1 species
UACGUAGGGUGCGAGCGUUGUCCGGAAUUACUGGGCGUAAAGAGCUCGUAGGCGGCUUGUCGCGUUGGUCGUGAAAAUUUACCGCUCAACGGUGAACUUGCGGGCGAUACGGGCAAGCUAGAGUACUGCAGGGGAGACUGGAAUUCCUGGUGUAGCGGUGAAAUGCGCAGAUAUCAGGAGGAACACCGGUGGCGAAGGCAGGUCUCUGGGCAGUAACUGACGCUGAGGAGCGAAAGCGUGGGGAGCAAACAGG